GGAAGCAGCAACAGCAGCUUUAUAGCAGAAAUUGGGAACGUUUAAAUGUUUGAAAUUCGAAAUCCUCCAGAUAUUUUCUUUUUUUGCCAGAGCUACCGGUUGGCCGGUGAGGAGGCGGGCCACCCCUUAGUCGACUCCACUGAAUAGCUGUCAAGGCUUGGAACGGGGCUGUUUAAAUCGUUCGUCGCUCACCGCUAGCUCGUUGAUCGUUCGGAAAACGCUCAGAAUAUGCUCGUUCGGUUUGGUUCGGUUUGCAAACGAGCCAAGCCUGAGCAAAGGUCCGCUCGGCUCAGUUCGGCUCGAAUUAAUUUUUAUUAGUUUAUUACAUAUACACAAAUUACAUGUAUAUUCAUAUUUUAUACAUACCAUUCUAUUAGAUUUGGACCACUAUACUCAAAUAUACAAUUAUAUUUAUCCA